rnacentral:rRNA from 1 species
GGGGAAUAUUGGACAAUGGGCGAAAGCCUGAUCCAGCCAUGCCGCGUGUGUGAAGAAGGUCUUCGGAUUGUAAAGCACUUUAAGUUGGGAGGAAGGGUUGUAGAUUAAUACUCUGCAAUUUUGACGUUACCGACAGAAUAAGCACCGGCUAACUUCGUGCCAGCAGCCGCGGUAAUACGAAGGGUGCAAGAGUUAAUCGGAAUUACUGGGCGUAAAGCGCGCGUAGGUGGUUCGUUAAGUUGGAUGUGAAAGCCCCGGGCUCAACCUGGGAACUGCAUUCGAAACUGGCAGGCUUGAGUCUCGUAGAGGGGGGUAGAAUUCCAGGUGUAGCGGUGAAAUGCGUAGAGAUCUGGAGGAAUACCGGUGGCGAAGGCGGCCCCCUGGACGAAGACUGACGCUCAGGUGCGAAAGCGUGGGGAGCAAACA